rnacentral:rRNA from 1 species
AAGUUAUGUAAGGGCGUAUGGGGGAUGCCUAGGCUCUCAGAGGCGAAGAAGGACGUGAUAAGCUGCGAAAAGUUGCGUGUAUUGGCACAUACGAUAUGAUACGCAAAUAUCCGAAUGGGGCAACCCAGUACAUUGAAGAUGUACUACACCGUAAAGGUGAGCAAACCCGCUGAACUGAAACAUCUAAGUAGGCGGAGGAGAAGAAAACAAAAGUGAUUCCCAAAGUAGUGGCGAGCGAAAUGGGAACAGCCCAAACCCAUAUUGUUACGGCAAUAUGGGGGUAGUAGGACCCAGAUAUAGGUUGUAAAGCUGGAUUAGAAGUGUUUGGAAAGACACACCAUAGAGAGUGAAAGUCUCGUAUAGGUACAGUUUUAUAAAUCUUAUGGGUAUCCUGAGUAGGUCGGGGCACGUGGAACCUUGACUGAAUCCGCCGGGACCAUCCGGUAAGGCUAAAUACUCCUGAGAGACCGAUAGUGAACUAGUACCGUGAGGGAAAGGUGAAAAGAACCGUGAAUAACGGAGUGAAAUAGACCCUGAAACCAUACGCCUACAAGCGGUCGGAGCAGCUUAGGCUGUGACGGCGUGCCUUUUGCAUAAUGAGCCUACGAGUUACUGUUACCAGCGAGGAUAAGUAUUUCAGAUACGAAUCCGUAGCGAAAGCGAGUCUGAAAAGGGCGCAAAUAGUUGGUAGUAGUAGACGCGAAACCUGGUGAUCUACCCUUGGGCAGGUUGAAGCGCUGGUAACACAGCGUGGAGGACCGAACUGGUUGUCGUUGAAAAGACUUCGGAUGACCUGAGGGUAGGGGUGAAAGGCCAAUCAAACUGGGAAAUAGCUCGUACUCCCCGAAAUGCAUUUAGGUGCAGCGUUGAUGUGAGUUUAAUAGAGGUAGAGCUACUGAUUGGAUGCGGGGGUUUCAUCGCCUACCAAUUCCUGACAAACUCCGAAUGCUAUUAAAUGCUCAUCAGCAGUGAGGGUAUGGGUGCUAAGGUCCAUAUCCGAGAGGGAAAGAACCCGGACCAUCAGCUAAGGUCCCCAAAUAUAUGCUAAGUUGACCAAACGCGGUCUGACUGCACUGACAGCUAGGAUGUUGGCUUGGAAGCAGCCAUACAUUUAAAGAGUGCGUAACAGCUCACUAGUCGAGCGGUUGGGCAUGGAUAAUAAACGGGCAUAAGCAUAUUACCGAAGCUAUGGGGUUAUUACUAAGUAAUAUACCGGUAGGGGAGCAUUCUAUUGGCGUGGAAGCUAAAGGCGUGAGCCAUAGUGGAGCCUGAUAGAAAAGAAAAUGUAGGCAUAAGUAACGAUAAGGCAGGCGAGAAACCUGCCCGCCGAAAGAUCAAGGUUUCCUCAGCUAUGCUAAUCAGCUGAGGGUUAGUCGGGGACUAACGCGAACCCGAGUAGGGGUAGUGGAUGUACAACGGGUUAAUAUUCCCGUACCAUUAAUCUAAUAAAAGUGACGGAAUGAGAUAGCUACCGCGUACUGACGGAAUAGUACGUUUAAGGAGUUGUUAUGACUUCAAAAGUACACCGAGGCUUCGGCUGAAGUGAGAGUGGCGACAACGUUUCCAAGAAAAGCGAAGAUUAAUGCCCGUACCGUAAACCGACACAGGUGAUUGGGAAGAGAAUUCUAAGGCGCUCGAGAGAUUCAUGGCUAAGGAACUAGGCAAAAUAGACCUGUAACUUCGGGAGAAAGGUCGCCUAUCGUAAGAUAGGCCGCAGUGAAAAGGUCCAAGCGACUGUUUAUCAAAAACACAGGACUCUGCAAAAUCGAAAGAUGAGGUAUAGGGUCUGACACCUGCCCGGUGCUGGAAGGUUAAGAGGAGAGCUUAGUGGUAACACGAAGGUUUGAAUUGAAGCCCCAGUAAACGGCGGCCGUAACUAUAACGGUCCUAAGGUAGCGAAAUUCCUUGUCGGGUAAGUUCCGACCUGCACGAAUGGUGUAACGAUUUGGACACUGUCUCGGCCAUGAGCUCGGUGAAAUUGUAGUAUCGGUGAAGAUGCCGAUUACCCGCAGUGGGACGAAAAGACCCUGUGCACCUUUACUAUAUCUUCGUAUUGGUCUUGGAUAAGUGAUGCGUAGGAUAGGUGGGAGACUGAGAAGCGGCUAUUCUGGUAGUUGUGGAGUCGUUGUUGAAAUACCACCCUUUGCUUAUCUGAGGCCUAACCCUCUUGAAGGGAGGGGACAAUUCGUGGAGGGUAGUUUGACUGGGGUGGUCGCCUCCAAAAGCGUAACGGAGGCUUCUAAAGGU